rnacentral:rRNA from 1 species
UACGAAGGGGGCUAGCGUUGUUCGGAAUUACUGGGCGUAAAGGGCUCGUAGGCGGCCAACUAAGUCAGACGUGAAACCCCUCGGCUUAACCGGGGAACUGCGUCUGAUACUGGAUGGCUAGAGGUUGGGAGAGGGAUGCGGAAUUCCAGGUGUAGCGGUGAAAUGCGUAGAUAUCUGGAGGAACACCGGUGGCGAAGGCGGCAUCCUGGACCAAUUCUGACGCUGAGGAGCGAAAGCCAGGGGAGCAAACGGG